rnacentral:rRNA from 1 species
GAGGAAGGUGGGGAUGACGUCAAAUCAUCAUGCCCUUUAUGACUUGGGCUACACACGUACUACAAUGGCGUUAAACAAAGAGAAGCAAGACCGCGAGGUGGAGCAAAACUCAGAAACAACGUCCCAGUUCGGACUGCAGGCUGCAACUCGCCUGCACGAAGUCGGAAUUGCUAGUAAUCGUGGAUCAGCAUGCCACGGUGAAUACGUUCCCGGGCCUUGUACACACCGCCCGUCACACCAUGAGAGCCGGGGGGACCCGAAGUCGGUAGUCUAACCGCAAGGAGGACACCGCCGAAGGUAAAACUGGUGAUUGGGGUGAAGUCG